CGAGUGAACCGGGAUGAGCUCAAAUUUGAAAUCUGGCGUCUUUCAGGCGUCCGAGUUGUAAUCUAUAGAGGCGUUUUCCGCGCCGGACCGCGUCCAAGUCUCUUGGAAUAGAGUAUCAAAGAGGGUGACAAUCCCGUACUUGACGCGACAACCGGUGCUCUGUGAUACGUUCUCAAUGAGUCGAGUUGUUUGGGAAUGCAGCUCUAAAUGGGUGGUAAAUUCCAUCUAAGGCUAAAUAUUGGCGAGAGACCGAUAGCGAACAAGUACCGUGAGGGAAAGAUGAAAAGCACUUUGGAAAGAGAGUUAAACAGCACGUGAAAUUGUUAAAAGGGAAACGAUUGAAGUCAGUCGUGUGGGAAGUAUUCAGCCGUCUCUGGCGGUGUAUUUGCUUCUCACGGGUCAACAUCAGUUUGAUCCGGUAGAAAAAGGCGGGAAGAAGGUGGCACCCUCGGGUGUGUUAUAGCUUCCUGUCAUAUGUGCCGGACCAGACUGAGGAACGCAGCUUGCAGCAAUGCCGGGGUUCGCCCACGUACAAGCUUAGGAUGUUGACAUAAUGGCUUUAAACGACCCGUCUUG
rnacentral:rRNA from 1 species